rnacentral:tRNA from 1 species
CGCUCUUUGGUCUAGGGGUAUGAUCUUCGCUUAGGGUGCGAGAGGUGCCUGGAUCAACUCCUUCACAAGCCG